rnacentral:rRNA from 1 species
AUGGACGAAAGUCUGACGGAGCAACGCCGCGUGAGUGAUGACGGCCUUCGGGUUGUAAAGCUCUGUUAAUCGGGACGAAAGGCCUUCUUGCGAAUAGUUAGAAGGAUUGACGGUACCGGAAUAGAAAGCCACGGCUAACUACGUGCCAGCAGCCGCGGUAAUACGUAGGUGGCAAGCGUUGUCCGGAAUUAUUGGGCGUAAAGCGCGCGCAGGCGGAUUGGUCAGUCUGUCUUAAAAGUUCGGGGCUUAACCCCGUGAUGGGAUGGAAACUGCCAAUCUAGAGUAUCGGAGAGGAAAGUGGAAUUCCUAGUGUAGCGGUGAAAUGCGUAGAUAUUAGGAAGAACACCAGUGGCGAAGGCGACUUUCUGGACGAAAACUGACGCUGAGGCGCGAAAGCCAGGGGAGCGAACGGGAUUAGAUACCCCGGUAGUCCUGGCCGUAAACGAUGGGUACUAGGUGUAGAAGGUAUCGACCCCUUCUGUGCCGGAGUUAACGCAAUAAGUACCCCGCCUGGGGAGUACGACCGCAAGGUUGAAACUCAAAGGAAUUGACGGGGGCCCGCACAAGCGGUGGAGUAUGUGGUUUAAUUCGACGCAACGCGAAGAGCCUUACCAGGUCUUGACAUUGAUGGACAGAACUAGAGAUAGUUCCUCUGCUUCGGAAGCCAGAAAACAGGUGGUGCACGG